GACGAACGCUGGCGGCGUGCCUAAUACAUGCAAGUAGAACGCACAGUUUAUACCGUAGCUUGCUACACCAUAGACUGUGAGUUGCGAACGGGUGAGUAACGCGUAGGUAACCUGCCUGGUAGCGGGGGAUAACUAUUGGAAACGAUAGCUAAUACCGCAUAAUAUUGAUUAUUGCAUGAUAAUUGAUUGAAAGAUGCUAUUGCAUCACUACCAGAUGGACCUGCGUUGUAUUAGCUAGUAGGUGAGGUAACAGCUCACCUAGGCGACGAUACAUAGCCGACCUGAGAGGGUGAUCGGCCACACUGGGACUGAGACACGGCCCAGACUCCUACGGGAGGCAGCAGUAGGGAAUCUUCGGCAAUGGACGAAAGUCUGACCGAGCAACGCCGCGUGAGUGAAGAAGGUUUUCGGAUCGUAAAGCUCUGUUGUAAGAGAAGAACGGGUGUGAGAGUGGAAAGUUCACACUGUGACGGUAUCUUACCAGAAAGGGACGGCUAACUACGUG
rnacentral:rRNA from 1 species